rnacentral:hammerhead_ribozyme from 1 species
GCACUGAUGAUGAGUCCCAAACAGGACGAAACAAUUAUCCAGUGC